rnacentral:rRNA from 1 species
ACUCCUACGGGAGGCAGCAGUGAGGAAUAUUGGACAAUGGGUGGAAGCCUGAUCCAGCCAUCCCGCGUGCAGGAAGACGGCCCUAUGGGUUGUAAACUGCUUUUAUCUGGGGAUAAACCUACUUACGUGUAAGUAGCUGAAGGUACCAGAAGAAUAAGCACCGGCUAACUCCGUGCCAGCAGCCGCGGUAAUACGGAGGGUGCAAGCGUUAUCCGGAUUUAUUGGGUUUAAAGGGUCCGUAGGCGGACUGAUAAGUCAGUGGUGAAAUCCGACAGCUUAACUGUCGAACUGCCGUUGAUACUGUUAGUCUUGAGUAAGGUUGAAGUGGCUGGAAUAAGUAGUGUAGCGGUGAAAUGCAUAGAUAUUACUUAGAACACCAAUUGCGAAGGCAGGUCACUAAGUCUUAACUGACGCUGAUGGACGAAAGCGUGGGGAGCGAACAGGAUUAGAAACCCCUGUAGUCCCAUGAU